GUGUUCAUUCUUCUUCGCUGCGUUUAACCUCUUAUAUAGGAUAUGUUCGUCGUAUAAGCAAUUGGUGUAGUGAUUGACUUGGAGGAAAUCUGUGUUCACCGAAGAACUCAUUCGUGAUAAAUUGAUGUAAACUUUGGCUGUUAACGAUUAAGCGAUAAAUAUUGAUCGAAAAUAUCGAGGUACUUAAUUUUGUCGAUUGAUUUCUUUCGAUCGUAAUUAACAGUGAAAUUAUUUAGAGAACAGAAUUGUGCAUAUAAAUUUAUACAGUCUAUCAGUUUAUUAUUUCAAACCAGUUUAUUUGCAUUAUAAAAUGAAGAAUUUAGAUCAAUGAUCGAGGAGCGAUGAUAUCGCAAAUGGUGGAUGACGACGUUAAUGAUGAUAUAAUUACCUUUAACGGCGGCCUCGUAGGAUCCUUCCUGAGCUCCGCGUAACGAGCCUCGAAGCUGUCGUCCCAGUAUUCCCGGCUGCGCAUCCAUGAUGGCUGUAACAGAAAUAAAAGAGGACGAGUUAUACACGGGGUGACGAAUUAUUCGACAGGCGAGAAAACUAUGGAAAAAAAAAAUGUUAAUAAUCUCCUCACUUACGAAUAUUCGGAUUAAAAAAUUCAGUGACAUUUUUCAGUGACAAUUUACUCCGAAAAAAAAAAGAAAAAAAGAACAAGAAACUUCUUAAAUGUCUAUCAAUGCUGCAAAUGGAAAUAUUAAUUAAAAAGUUCAAAAGUUAUACAAAAAUGUCACAAAAUUUUUAGAUUUUUACCUCCCCCCUCUCAAAAAAAAAUUUCUUAAAUGUCCAUCAGUCGUGCAAAUAUUAAUUAAAAAGUUCAAGAGCUAAAAAUGUCAUUAAAUUUUUCGAUUUGUGUGGAAUGAGACGGGGGAAGGAAAAAAAAUCGACAAGACGAACGUGUGAUUUUUAUCCAGAUGUCAAGCGUUACCAGGCGAUUUUUAAUUAAUAAUUAAUCAUUCGACUUAUCGCGACGAAUAACCGACGGACGUUUGCAACGACUUUAGAACACGAUACGACUGUUACAUCGAUGGAAUGAGUCAUAGAAUUUACCAUGUGCGAUAAGAAAGUGCGAGAUUAUUAACAUUUGGAUGAACGAGGUGGAUAAUGGGGAAAAAAAAUCGCCCCUCGAACAAUUCAUCCACGUCGAGUUUUAAAAAUUGACGAUAGGUAAUUAUCGCGUGAAAAUAAUUUUAAGUUAUAAGUCAUGUUGCUUGAUAGUAUCAACUGGAACUGUGACGAUGCAGUUUUCGUUAAUGGUAUGUAUUGUGUAUUUAAUAUUAUUACGAAUAAAUGAUUAUCAUGAUUCAUAUACUCAAUCUUUUUAUAUUUUUUUUAUAUUUUAAAAAAGAGAGAGAGAAAAAGAAAUUGGAUUAACCAAGUGAUUUUGAUGACAAUUUAAUGAUAAAAGUUAAGAAAGAUAAUUUUAAUAUGAAAUAAAAUUUUACAAAUAUUUAAAUAAACACAGAAUUUUUAUUUUUAUAUCUUUUAGAAUAAACUUCUGAAGGAUUCCAUUCCAAUCAGUUGGCGUUCAAACUUUAGACCAGUGGUUCACAACCUGUUGAUCGCAGAGUAUUUAUAUCUGAAGUAUUUUCGCCACAUUUAUCUUCAAUUGUCAAUUUUUAACGUUCAUUUAUUUUAAGACUCGAGGAGAGACUAGUUCGCUGAAACCGAUCCUCUUCCCUGGUCGACCUGGAAUCCUGGAGAAUGGUUCGAGCAAUUCGAUAGCCAUUAAUUCGAAGGUGGAACGAGGACAUCAGGUGUCUCUUGGGGAAGAGGGAUGAUCCUGGAAACGGUAAACGAGCUGACGAAAGGGAAAGGAACGGUUCCAACCGUGCAGGAAUUCGUACUGAAAGAAGACAAAGUUGGAUAAAAACAAUUAGAGAUGAAAAAAAAAAAAAGAAAAAGAAAGAAAGAGAGAGAAAGAAAGAAAUGUCGAGAUGGAAGUGGCACAUACGGACUUUCUUUGAGUGAUUUAUGGUCUCUGAAGAUAUCAGAGAGAAUACGUUUCAGAUAUUAGGAUUUUUCUUAUCGAUAUUUUAUUCCAUCUAUAUAGAGAAACAAAAAUAUUAUCGUAUUGAAUGAUAAAUGACGCUUUAUUGGAUGUUUAAUUAAUCAGAUCAAGGAUUUUUAUUAUCUCAGUGUCUUUUUAUAAUCCAUCACAAUUAAUAAAAAGACAAUUGUAUUCAAGCAA